rnacentral:rRNA from 1 species
GAUCAACGCUGGCGGCGUGCCUAAUGCAUGCAAGUCGAACGGGGCAGGCUUUGGUCUGCUUACGUGGCGGACGGGUGCGGAACACGUGGGCAAUCUGCCCGUGGGCGGGGGAUAGCCUCCAGAAAUGGGGGGUAAGCCCGCAUGUGCGGGACGGCGGGUAGCGUCGUUCCGGAAAGCGUUCUUUGGAGCGUACCCACGGAGGAGCCUGCGGCCGAUUAGCUAGUUGGUGUGGUGACGGCGCACCAAGGCGAUGAUCGGUAGCUGGUCUGAGAGGACGGCCAGCCACACGGGGACUGAGACACGGCCCCGACUCCUACGGGAGGCAGCAGCAAGGAAUCUUCCGCAAUGGGCGCAAGCCUGACGGAGCAACGCCGCGUGCGGGAUGAGGCGCUUCGGCGUGUAAACCGCUUUUCCGAGGGAUGAAGUUCUGACAGUACCUCGGGAAGAAGGACCGGCUAACUACGUGCCAGCAGCCGCAGUAACAC